UGAUUCUGGCUCAGAAUGAACGUUGGCGGCGUGGAUUAGGCAUGCAAGUCGAGCGAGAACCAGUCUUCGGACUGGGGAGAGCGGCGAACGGGGUAGGAAUACCUCGGUGACGUACCCCUCGGUCGGGGAUAGCGGCGGGAAACUGCCGGUAAUACCCGAUAACCUGUCCUGAUUUUAUGUUUGGGACAGCAAAGGUGUGAUUCCGUCGGGGGAGCGGCUGAGGUCGUAUUAGCUAGUUGGUAAGGUAACGGCUUACCAAGGCGAUGAUGCGUAGGGGGUGUGAGAGCAUGGCCCCCACCACUGGCACUGAGACACUGGCCAGACACCUACGGGUGGCUGCAGUCGAGAAUCUUCGGCAAUGGGCGCAAGCCUGACCGAGCGACGCCGCGUGCGGGAUGAAGGUCUUCGGAUUGUAAACCGCUGUCGGAGGGGAUGAAGUG
rnacentral:rRNA from 1 species